CCAUGCGCCACUGUACGCUGUGGUGGAUGCAAAACUGGAACAGUGCUCAGCCCUACACCAGAUGAGUGUUGUCGAUGCGUGAACGAGCUGUGCGCUACUGUGCUCUGUGCGACCUGCAAGAGCGGAACAGUGUUCAGCCCUCUUCCCGAUAACUGCUGCCGAUGUAUAAAAGACCCAUGCGCCACGGUACGCUGUGGUGGAUGCAAAAAUGGAACAGUGCUCAGCCCUACACCAGACGAGUGCUGUCGAUGCGUGAACGAGCUGUGCGCUACUGUGCUCUGUGCGACCUGCAAGAGCGGAACAGUGUUCAGCCCUCUUCCCGAUGACUGCUGCCGAUGUAUAAAAGACCCAUGCGCCACUGUACGCUGUGGUGGAUGCAAAAAUGGAACAGUACUCAGCCCUACACCAGACCAGUGCUGUCGAUGCGUGAACGAUCCAUGCGCCACUGUGCGCUGUCGUGGCUGCAAUGAAGGAGCAGUGCUUAGCCCAGUUCUUGACAAUUGCUGCAGAUGUGUGCCAGCCCAAUCAUAGUUUCAGACUGUACUCUUGGCUUAUGCACGAAGCGGGGAGUGGUACAACUGCGUUGCAGCCCUCUCCUAGCGCCCAUUGUCGAUGUACUUAAGCAGUGUCCACGAAGCACCGUCACAUCUAAGUGGCUGACCACUACUCUACUCAAUAUACUAAAAAAUAGCGAGCUUCUUGAAGGUACUCAAAGUGAGCCCCUAUUGAAGCUUGUCAUUUGCACCGUUAAAAACAAUCUUCGCUUUCCUUGUAUGUGCAGCAAUAAACCUGCUCAAAUUGGUUGCA